UACGGGGGGGCAAGCGUUGUUCGGAAUUAUUGGGCGUAAAGGGCGCGUAGGCGGUGCGGUAAGUCACCUGUGAAAACUCUGGGCUCAACUCAGAGCCUGCAGGCGAAACUGCCGUGCUUGAGGACUGGAGAGGAGACUGGAAUUUACGGUGUAGCGGUGAAAUGCGUAGAUAUCGUAAGGAAGACCAGUGGCGAAGGCGGGUCUCUGGACAGUUCCUGACGCUGAGGCACGAAGGUCAGGGGAGCAAACGGG
rnacentral:rRNA from 1 species